UACCAGCACCCCGAGUGGUCGGGACGUUUAUUGGGCCUAAAGCAUCCGUAGCCGGUUCUACAAGUCUUCCGUUAAAUCCAACUGCUUAACAGGUGGGCUGCGGAAGAUACUAUAGAGCUAGGAGGCGGGAGAGGCAAGCGGUACUCGAUGGGUAGGGGUAAAAAUCCGUUGAUCCAUUGAAGACCACCAGUGGCGAAGGCGGCUUGCCAGAACGCGCUCGACGGUGAGGGAUGAAAGCUGGGGGGAGCAAACCGG
rnacentral:rRNA from 1 species